rnacentral:rRNA from 1 species
CCUGGUUGAGCCUGCCAGUAGUCAUAUUCUUGUCUUAAAGAUUAAGCCAUGCAUGUCUCAGUUCUUCGAUUGGUACACCAUAGAUUGCGAAUGGUUUAGUAUAACAGBUUCUAUAUUCUUGAAUAANUUUCUUUGUGGAUAACUGCGGGAAUUUUUCAGCUAAUACAUGGUACUAUGUAUAAAUAUAUAUUUGAUAUGUAUAUGGCUGUUAUUUUUUAUUAAAUUAAAAUUUAUAUAUUKUUUUGAGGAUUUUUAAUUAUUACCUACAGAUUGCUGUACUAGUGGCAAUUCAUUUAAGUUUCUGACCUAUCAGUUAAUUAGUUGCGUCUUGUACAAUUGAGGCAUUAACGGGUAACAGAGAAUUAGGGUUCUGUUCCGGAGAGGGAGUCUGAGAAAUAGCUGCCACAUCUAAGGAAGGCAGCAGGCGCGAAAAUUACCCAAUUUUGAUGAAUAGAGGUAGUGACAAGAAAUCACAAUAUUAUGGCAUAUGGCUAAAUAAUUGUAUUGAAAAAMAUGUAGAAAUUUUAUCUAUAAGCUAGUGGAGGGCAAGUCUGGUGCCAGCAGCCGCGGUAAUUCCAGCUCUAAUAGUUUAUGCUAACAAUGUUGCAAUUAAAAAGCUCAUAGUCGAAUAUUUCAGAUAUUCAAUUUUGUAUGGUCCUAUUGGAUUAAAAAAAUCGAAUUAUUUUAGUUUAUAUUUAUUUAUACUGUUGGCAUUAAUUUUUUGAUAGUGAUUUAAAUUUGUUUCACUUUGGAAAAAUGAGAGUGUUUUAAGCAGUCGUUCGUUAUUAUUCUAAAGUAUGGAAUGAUAAGUAAUGAUGUUGGCUUAAUUUGAUUGGUUUGAGAGGUUGAUGUAAUGAUUUAUACGGUGAUUCGGAGGUAUUCGUAUUUUGUCGUUAGAAGUGAAAUUCUUGGAUUGAGAGAAGGCAAACAAUAGCAAAAGCAUUCAUCUAGAAUCUACUCCUUGGUCAAGAACGUAAGUUGUGGGAUCGAAGACGAUCAGAUACCGUCGUAGUCUCAACUAUAAACAAUAUUAAUUAGGGAUUAGCGAAUGUUUAUAAAACAUUGUUAGAACCUAAAGAGAAAUCAAAGUAUUUGGAUUCCGGGGGGAGUAUGGUUGCAAGGCUGAAACUUAAAGGAAUUGACGGAAGGGCACCACAAGUUGUGUAUUCUGUGGCUUAAUUUGACUCAACACAGGAAAACUUACCAGGUCUAGACAUAGGAAUUAUUGACGGAUUUAUAGCUCUUUCUUAAUUUUGUGGGUUGUGGUGCAUGGCCGUUCCUAGUUGGUGGAGUGAUUUGUCUGGUUAAUUCCGUUAACGAAUGAGGCUAUUAUCUGUUAAUUCGCGUAAUAAUUAGAUUAGUGUUUUUGCUUCUUUAAGAAACUAGUUUUGCCUAAAAAGCUGGAAGUUGGUAGCAAUAACAGGUCUGUGAUGCCCAUCGACGUUUUGGGCAGCGCACGGGCUACAAUAGGAGAAUUACUAUGUUUACUAUCUUAAUUCGAAAAGAGUUGAGUAAUCAUGAAGGUGACUUAUAAUUGGGCUUACACAUUGAAAUUUUUUUGUAUAAACCAGGAAUAUCUAGUAAGUCAAGGUCAAUAACAUUGUUUGAAUGCGUCCCUGCCUUUUGUACACACCGCCCGUCGCUCCUACCGAUCGGAUAAGCUAGUGAUUGAAUUGGAUGAGGAGUUAGGUUACUGAAAGAUAACAUUAUGGUUAAGAUUUGCUAACUAGAUUAUUUAGAGGAAGGAGAAGUCGUAACAAGGUUUCCGUAGGNGAACCUGCAGAAGGAUCA